AAGUCGUAACAAGGUUUCCGUAGGUGAACCUGCGGAAGGAUCAUUACUAAUGUUUACUCAUUCUUAAUAAACCAACCUUAUGUGAACCCAAUUUGACGUUGGCUGGGACCAGUCUGCGGUCAACUCUUCCUAGUGUAAUACUUACACUGGGACAAGAAGAUUGUUGGCUGGUACCAGUUGACAAUUACAACAUAUAACACUUAUGCCUUGAUAUCCGUCCGAGUGUCUGGGCAGAAAUGCCUGGGAAUCUUGGACAACUAAGGGUAAAAAACUUUUAGCAACGGAUCUCUUGGCUCUC
rnacentral:misc_RNA from 1 species